rnacentral:rRNA from 1 species
AUGGACAGCGCAGACACCACCGUCGCCGGCGGCCGCGUCCUGCUCCUGCCGUUCCCGGGCAUGCAGGGCCACGCCAACCCCAUGCUCCAGCUCGGCCGCCGCCUCGCCUACCACGGCCUCCGCCCCACCCUCGUCCUCACCCGCCACGUCCUCUCCGCCACCCCCACCACCCAGUGCCCCUUCCCCGUGGCCGCCAUCUCCGACGGCUUCGACGCCGGCGGCAUCGCCUCGUGCGCCGACACCGCCGAGUACCUGCGCCGCAUGGAGGCCGCCGGCUCCGACACGCUCGCGUCGCUCCUCCUCGCCGACGACGUACGGGUGCUCGUGUACGACUCGCACCUGCCGUGGGCGCGGCGCGUGGCGCGGGAGGCCGGCGUGGCCGCCGCCGCCUUCUUCACGCAGAUGUGCGCGGUGGACGUGGUCUACGGCGAGGUCUCCGCGGGGCGGGUGCCGCUGCCGCUCGCGGACGGGCGCGCGCUCCGGGGCAGGCUCUCCGUGGAGCUCGGGCCCGACGACGUGCCGCCGUUCGUCGCCGCGCCGGCGUGGUACCCAGCGUUCACGGAAUCGGCGCUGUCGCAGUUCGACGGGCUGGACCAGGCCGAUCACGUGCUCGUCAACUCCUUCCGCGACCUCGAGCCAAUGGAGGCUGACUACAUGCAAUCCAAAUGGCGUGCAAAGACGGUCGGCCCGACAUUACCGUCGUUCUAUCUAGACGAUGAUCGCCUGCUGUCGAACAAGGCCUACGGCUUCAACCUCGUCUCGAGCACCUCUCCGUGCAUGGCAUGGCUCGACAAGCAGGCUCCUUGCUCUGUGCUCCUCGCAUCCUAUGGCACGGUCGCCAACCUCGAGACGACCCAACUAGAGGAGCUAGGUCAUGGAUUGUGCAACUCCGGACAGCCCUUCCUUUGGGUGUUGAGGUCCAACGAGGCAGAUAAGUUGCCCCAAGAACUCCAUGACAAAUGCAACAUGAAAGGCCUAAUUGUCUCAUUUUGCCCUCAACUGGAGGUAUUGGUUCACAGGGCCACAGGUUGUUUCUUGACGCAUUGUGGAUGGAACUCGACAACUGAAGCAAUUGCCACCGGUGUACCCAUGAUCACAAUACCGCAAUGGGCGGACCAACCGACCACCGCAAAGUACGUGGAGAGCGUGUGGGGGAUCGGCCUGCGUGCGCGUCGAGACGAGAAAGGCUUGGUGAGAAGGGAGGAGGUGGAGAGGUGCAUCAAGGAGGUGAUGGGUGGAGAAGAGUAUAAGAGAAAUUCUUCUAAGUGGAUGCAGAAGGCCAAAGAGGCUAUGCAGGAAGGAGGGAGCUCUGACAAAAACAUUGCAGAUUUUGCUGCCAAAUAUUUAUGA